rnacentral:rRNA from 1 species
GAAGGUUCGUCCGCCCUGGGUAAGUCGGGGCCUAAGGUGAGGCUGAAGAGCGUAGCCGAUGGAUAACUAGUAGAGAUUCUAGUACCAGUGUAGUGACUGAUGGAGUGACAAAGAAGGAUAGGCGUCCACCCUUAAUGGAUUGGGUGAGAAGGAUUCGAGGCUAGUACUUAGGCAAAUCCGGGUACUGUUAAAGCUGAGAACUGAUAUAAAGACGUACGAGUUCAUGCUUUCAAGAAAAGCUUCUAAGGUUAAUCAUUAUACUGCCCGUACCGUAAACCGACACAGGUGGGUGAGUAGAAUAUAUUAAGACGCGCGAGAAAACUGUUGUUAAGGAACUCGGCAAAUUGACCCCGUAACUUCGGGAAAAGGGGGACUCCUUAUGAAAACGAGGAGUCGCAGAGAAAAGGCCCAAGCGACUGUUUAGCAAAAACACAGGUCUCUGCAAAACCGUAAGGUGAAGUAUAGAGGCUGACGCUUGCCCGGUGCUGGAAGAUUAAGAGGAGAUGUCAGGGUUAAACCGAAGCAUUGAAUUGAAGUCCCAGUAAACGGCGGCCGUAACUAUAACGGUCCUAAGGUAGCGAAAUUCCUUGGCGGGUAAGUUCCGUCCUGCACGAAAAGCGUAACGAUUUGGGCACUGUCUCAACAACAGACUCGGUGAAAUCAAGCUGCCGGUGAAAACGCCGGCUACCCGCGAUUAGACGAAAAGACCCCAUGGAGCUUCACUGUAACUUGAUAUUGAAACUGGGUGUAAGAUGUACAGGAUAGGUGGGAGGCUAUGAAGAUAGUACGCUAGUAUUGUCGGAGCCAACGUUGGGAUACCACCCUUCGUGCACUUAGUUUCUAACUUCUAGAUGUGUAAUCUAAAGGACAGUGUCUGGUGGGCAGUUUGACUGGGGCGGUCGCCUCCCAAAGAGUAACGGAGGCGCUCGAAGGUUACCUCAGAAUGGUUGGAAAUCAUUCUAUAGAGUGCAAUGGCAGAAGGUAGCUUGACUGCGAGACCAACAAGUCGAGCAGGGACGAAAGUCGGACAUAGUGAUCUUACGGUACCGAAUGGAAGGGCCGUGACUCAACGGAUAAAAGUUACCCUGGGGAUAACAGGCUUAUCGCUUCCAAGCGUUCACAGCGACGAAGCGGUUUGGCACCUCGAUGUCGGCUCGUCGCAUCCUGGAGCUGGAGUAGGUUCCAAGGGUUGGGCUGUUCGCCCAUUAAAGCGGCACGCGAGCUGGGUUCAGAACGUCGUGAGACAGUUCGGUCUCUAUCUAUCGUGGGCGUUGGAAAUUUGAAGGGAGCUGUUCCUAGUAUGAGAAGACCGGAAUGGACGCACCCCUGGUGCACCAGUUAGUACGCCAGUACUACAGCUGGGUAGCUAUGUGCGGAAGGGAUAAACGCUGAAAGCAUCUAAGCGUGAAGCCCCCCUUAAGAUGAGAUUUCCCAAUUAGUAAGACCCCUCAAAGACUAUGAGGUUGAUAGGCCAGGUGUGUAAGUACAGCGAUGUAUUCAGCUUACUGGUACUAAUAGGUCGAGGACUUAACCUU